rnacentral:rRNA from 1 species
CCUACGGGUGGCAGCAGUGGGGAAUAUUGGGCAAUGGGCGCAAGCCUGACCCAGCAACGCCGCGUGAAGGAAGACGGCUUUCGGGUUGUAAACUUCUUUUCUCAGGGACGAAGCAAGUGACGGUACCUGAGGAAUAAGCCACGGCUAACGACGUGCCAGCAGCCGCGGUAAUCCGUAGGGGGCAAGCUUUAUCCGGAUUUCCUGGGUGUAAAGGGCGUGUAGGCGGGAGUGCAAGUCAGAUGUGAAAACCAUGGGCUCAACCUAGGGCCUGCAUUUGAAACUGUAGUUCUUGAGUACUGGAGAGGCAGACGGAAUGCCUGGUGUAGCGGUGAAAUGCGUAGAUAUUAGGAGGAACACCAGUGGCGAAGGCAGCCUGCUGGAGAGCAACUGACGCUGAGGCGCGAAAGCGUGGGGAGCAAACAGGAUUAGAUACCCUUGUAGUC